CAGAUGAACCAAUUAUCUGGCUUCAAGAUAUUUCAGAUGACUGAGAUACAACCUUUUUGAACAGGUUGCUUGAGAAGCUUUUGUGUCUGGACAAGACAAGGUUGAACAAUUACAAAAAAAGCAGCUGUUCUU
rnacentral:lncRNA from 1 species